GACGAACGCUGGCGGCGUGCCUAAUACAUGCAAGUUGAGCGCUGAAGGUUGUACUUGUACCAACUGGAUGAGCAGCGAACGGGUGAGUAACGCGUGGGGAAUCUGCCUUUGAGCGGGGGACAACAUUUGGAAACGAAUGCUAAUACCGCAUAAAAACUUUAAACACAAGUUUUAAGUUUGAAAGAUGCAAUUGCAUCACUCAAAGAUGAUCCCGCGUUGUAUUAGCUAGUUGGUGAGGUAAAGGCUCACCAAGGCGAUGAUACAUAGCCGACCUGAGAGGGUGAUCGGCCACAUUGGGACUGAGACACGGCCCAAACUCCUACGGGAGGCAGCAGUAGGGAAUCUUCGGCAAUGGACGAAAGUCUGACCGAGCAACGCCGCGUGAGUGAAGAAGGUUUUCGGAUCGUAAAACUCUGUUGGUAGAGGAGAACGUUGGUGAGAGUGGAAAGCUCAUCAAGUGACGGUAACUACCCAGAAAGGGACGGCUAACUACGUG
rnacentral:rRNA from 1 species